AGGGGAAGUGAGGAUUGGGUUAUUCUCGCAUAUAUGCGUGAAGAGCGUUCCGCUCAAACCUUUUACGACAAUUGGGCGCUCCAAUUUUCAUAUCUGAUCCCUCAUGUUUCAAUUUUUUAAACUUAUUUUUAUAUUUCAAAAAAAAUAUUGAAAAAAUAAACUUUUCUAAGUUUUGUUGAAAAUUUAAAGUUUACAAACCUGCUGAUUUUUGUAAUAAUAAUGAUAAUAAUAAUAAGAAUGAUUUAUUAUAUAAGCAUUAUACAGUUUUACACUUUUUUGCUCAGUAGCCUGAGUUUAAAAAACGUAAUACCCAAAUUAAAUGAAUUUGAAGUAUCUCAAACAAAGGCCGUGACUAAAUACACAAGGAGUUCACAAAGUGAUUUUAAGCAAGACAGUUGCAGAGAAAACUGCAAGAUACAUUCUGAGUCAUUCCGCUGUCAAUAAAACUGAAAAAAGAUUCAAAGAUAAUAUAGAGGGUAUAAUAUUAACAAUGGUUUGAGCCGCAGCAUAUAUCCCGUAGACAACAUCAAAGGAUGAAUCCAACAUCAAAGGGUAUAAUAUUACCAAAGGAUGGAACUCACAGUUACAAAGCUUUUGUGGACAGUGUGAUGUUCAUUUGGAACCAGGGACCAUCGUUUCUUCCAAUGCAAGGUAUCGGAAGAAGUGUGGAAAGAUUUGACGUUAGGACUGCUCUCCACACACUAUACCAGUGAGUGGAGUGGGGUUUUGCAGCUUAUAUCACACAAAGGAGUGGACAAGCUUGAUACAUUCCUAAUUUGGUAUGUAUUCCAGACCACAUUGUAUGCACUAUAGAGGGAACGUAAUCAGAGAAGAGACAUGGAGAGGUGGCUACACCAUCUUCUCCCCUGAUCUGAAUGGUGGGCAAACGAAUUCAAAAUCGGUUUGCUAUAUUAAAGGGAUUAUUUGGCCAUGCCUAUGAGAGGGGCCGGGUUAGAUGGCUGGAAACAAAAUGAAGAUUGAGUUGAAGACAUAGUUUUAAUGGUUUUUUAUUCAAAACAAACUUAGAUACAAAGUAACAGCAAAUGUUAAAACGAUUUUUUGCUAGAAUAAAUUUAAAAUUCUUUAAAAAAAAUAAUCGUAACACUUGCAAGCAUUUUGUUGUCUUCAAGUUAUGUGAAAACAAAUAUUGUAACGGAUAUGAAUUAUAUUUUAAUGAUCUUGGUAAUAAUUAUGAAGGACUUAACAAGAGAGAGGAGAGAGAGAAGCUUUUCUCUCUUUUGCUCUUCUCAUUCCGCCGUAAAACCCUAGCGCCACGGUUCUCAAUCUCGCGUUCUGAUCACAUGGGCUGUAAUGGUAAUAAUUUUAUUGACAACUGGGGCCACUGACACGUUCUGAUCACAUGGGCUGUAAUGGGCUUGGAAACCUUUGAACAACCUUCUGUAGGUGAGCGAGCGAGCGAGUAAAAGUCUUAAUUCUCGUCCCACAUCGAUUGUGUAGACAGACAUGUGAAUGAGUGGGUCUAUAAAAGAAAAAGAAGUGCCAACUUUGAAAACAUGAUCCUUCAGGUUUAAAGGGGAAGUGAGGAUUGGGUUAUUCUCGCAUAAAUGCGUGAAGAGCGUUCCGCUCAAACCUUUUUACGACAAUUGGGCGCUCCAAUUUUCAAUAUAUCUGAUCCCUCUUAUUUCAUUUUUUUUCCAAAUCAUUUUUUCUUAUUAAUUUUAAAGUUCUUUUUCUAAUAAAAGUUAUUUUAAAGAAAUUAAAAUUGAUUAUAAGUUUGUUAACUUUUAAGGCUAAAGCUUUGGUUGUUUUUUAAUUAUAUAAGGUAAUAAAUACAUGAUGUUAAUUGUAAGGAUUUGUUUUCUUGUAACGAAGUUAAUUAUAAGGACUUGAAAGAUACAAUUUA
rnacentral:lncRNA from 1 species